rnacentral:rRNA from 1 species
CCCUUAGAUGUUCUGGGCUGCACGCGUGUUACAAUCGGGAGUACAACAAGAUUGCAAAUCCUAGUGGAUGAGUGGUUCUUCGAAAUUUUCUGAAGACUGGGAUAGUUGAUUGAAAUUAUUCAACUCGAACGAGGAAUUCCUUGUAAUUGUAAUCCAUUAUAUUGUAAUGAAUACGUCCCUGCCCUUUGUACACACUGCCCGUCGCUCCUACCGAUUGAACGAUCCGGUGAAUUAUUUGGAGUAGCUCUGGAAGUUGCAGAACUUCCUAUGUCACGAAAUUUUGUAAACCUUAUCGUUUAGAGGAAGGAAAAGUCGUAACA